UGGUAUAUAGUUUAUUCAAAACAAAUGAUUUCGACUCAUUAGAUUAUGAAAAUUCAUAUUUACCAAUA
rnacentral:tRNA from 2 species